UGAAAGGGAAACGAUUGAAGUCAGUCGUACUGACGGGUAAUCAACCUUUCUGGCGCGAUUAUUUGGGCAUGUUGGAGCCUUAACCGGUCCUCUUGUUUUUAUAUUCGUUCCUCUUGGGUGUACUUGCCCGUGUGGUAGGUUAACAUCAAUUUCAGGCGUCAUAAAAUGACGGGAGGAAUGUAGCUUUGGUCUCGUACUGAAGUGUUAUAGACUCCGGUAGAUGUGACGUCUGGGAUUGAGGAUUGCAACGGAUACCUCUCGGGGCUAUCCGCCUGGUCUCUGAUGGUCGCUUUGGUGCCGAAAGCUUGCUUAUGGUUAUCGAAGUUGGUUGUCAAAAGGUUAGAGCGGGUUAAAUUCGUUAAGGAUGUUGACGUA
rnacentral:rRNA from 1 species